rnacentral:rRNA from 1 species
GUGGGGAAUCUUGGACAAUGGGGGAAACCCUGAUCCAGCCAUGCCGCGUGAGUGAUGAAGGCCCUAGGGUUGUAAAACUCUUUCGGCGGGGACGAUAAUGACGGUACCCGCAGAAGAAGCUCCGGCUAACUUCGUGCCAGCAGCCGCGGUAAUACGAAGGGGGCUAGCGUUGUUCGGAAUUACUGGGCGUAAAGCGCGCGCAGGCGGUCCUUCAAGUCAGAGGUGAAAGCCCAGAGCUCAACUCUGGAAUGGCCUUUGAGACUAGAGGACUUGGGUACGGGAGAGGUGAGUGGAAUUCCGAGUGUAGAGGUGAAAUUCGUAGAUAUUCGGAAGAACACCAGUGGCGAAGGCGGCUCACUGGCCCGUUACCGACGCUCAGGCGCGACAGCGUGGGGAGCAAACAGGAUUAGAUACCCCAGUAGUCC